rnacentral:rRNA from 1 species
GUGUACCGGAAGGUGCACCUGGAAAGUCAGAAUAGAGCUUGAUUAGUUAAGCAUUUCAUUUACACUGAAAAUACACUGUGCAAUUCAGUUUAUUCUGAUAAAUUUUAGCUUACUGUGAUUAUUUGAUAAAAAGGAUUAUUUUUAAUUAAAUUAUUUUUAAUGUUAUAGGUUUUUGUAUAGAAUAUAGAUAAAAUUAUGAGUGUGGUAGGUAAAUUGUAUCGUGAGAGGUUUUUGAAAUAUUUUGAAAAUAUAUUUUCUAAAAAGUAGGAUAUUUUCUGUACCUUGUGUAUCAGGGUCUAUUAAAAAAAAUUUAUAAGUAUUUAUAUUUUCCCGAUUUAAAGAGAGCUAAAUAAAUAUGUUAGUUAAUGUAGAAUAAUUAUUAAUAAUAUUUAUUUAGUAAUGAAACGUUAUCCGUUCUUUAAGAUAUCUGGUUUUCUAAGAAAUGAAUUUAAUUCAGGUUUUUAGGGGUAUUGAUUUAAUUUAUAUGAAUUAUUUAUGUCUAAAAACUAAUGUUUUGGGGGAUAAGCUUCAAAACAGGUUUUAUAAUUUUAUUAUUUUUAAAAAUUUCGUAGGCUUAGAAUUAGCCAUCUAUUAAAGGAUGUUAUAAUUUAAUUUUUUAAGGUAAAAAUUUUCUUAAAAUUUAAGUUUUAUAUUAGAAUGAUUUAUUUAAUUUAGAAAUAAAUGUAAUAAUGAUAAAAUUAGUAUAUAAAUUGUUUUUAUUAUUUUUGUGUGUUAGGUCACAUUAAGGAAUUAGGCAAAUUAAUACUCGCCUGUUUAACAAAAACAUGUCUUCUUGAAUAAAAUUUGAAGUCUGACCUGCCCACUGAAUUUUAUAUUUAAAGGGCCGCGGUAUUUUGACCGUGCAAAGGUAGCAUAAUCAUUAGUCUUUUAAUUGAAGGCUAGAAUGAAUGGUUGGACGAGGUAUUGACUGUCUCGGUGUGAUUGAUAUUAGAAUUUAACUUUUAAGUUAAAAGGCUUAAAUGUUUUAGA